AGAUUGAACGCUGGCGGCAUGCUUUACACAUGCAAGUCGAACGGGUGGUGGGGCAACCUGCCAUUCAGUGGCGAACGGGUGAGUAAUGCAUCGGAACGUGUCCCGUAGUGGGGGAUAACCCGGCGAAAGCCGGACUAAUACCGCAUAUGCUCUACGGAGGAAAGCUGGGGACCCUGAAGGAAACUGAGGGGCCUUGUGCUAUGGGAGCGGCCGAUGUCCGAUUAGCUUGUUGGUGGGUAAUGGCCUACCAAGGCGACGAUCGGUAGCUGGUCUGAGAGGAUGAUCAGCCACACUGGGACUGAGACACGGCCCAGACUCCUACGGGAGCAGCAGUGGGAAUUUGGAC
rnacentral:rRNA from 1 species